rnacentral:lncRNA from 1 species
AUAUUUAAUCAUAUUUUUCUUUGAAAAAUAUUAUUCAAAAUAAUAUUUUUAAAAUUUUAAGGAUGUCAAAGAAGAGCAAAUUAUUGCUAUCUACUAGAAUAUCCAUACUAAUUAUAUCAAUGACUGGAAGUCAUACAGUCCUGUACGGUUAUCGCACCAUAUAGGACGGUUACCAAGUAUAUCUCCUUCGCGAGGCUGGCAAUUGCACAGAGUACAAAAAUUAUUAGUCUGUGAAUGAGCUCAGUUUUCGUGUCAGGAAUGUGUAUACGUAGAAUUGUAGAAAUGUUGGAAAUUUAUAUCAGCUCUUAUAAGAUGAGGUGCCUAUGAUAGUCAGGUUUUUCUUUAUCAUCCAGAAAAGAAAAUGGAAUAUUUACGGCGUAGUAUAGAUCCUUAUCUUGUAAUAUAUUAUAGAAAGUUGACCAAUUAUGAAAAACAGAAAAUAAAAUAUUUAGAAAUCGACCCUUCUA